rnacentral:rRNA from 1 species
GACGAACGCUGGCGGCGUGCUUAACACAUGCGAGUCGAACGGAAAGGCGCUGAUCUUGUGGGGCGGUCGAGAGGGGAAGGGGUGAGUAACACGCGAGUAAACUGCACCUGAAAUAGGGAGAAAAUCAGGAAAAUGGGGCUAAAACAGGAUAGGAGAUCCUGCAGCAUGGGGGGGGAAGGAAAGAGACGGCUGUGGGGGAUGGACUCGCGGGUUAUCAGCUGGAUGGUGGGGUAGUGGCUUACCAAGGCUUUGACGGGUAGCCGGCAUGAGAGGGUGACCGGCCACAUUGGGACUGAGAGACGCCCCAGUCUCCUACGGUACGCAGCAGUGGAGAGUAUUGCACAAUGGCCGCAAGCCUGAUGCAGCAACGCCCCGUUCGUGAUGCCCGCCUUCUAGUUGUAAACCUCUUUCGCCUUUGCCGUAGCCUGCUUGACGGUACUGAGUAAAGAAGCACCGGCUAACUACGUG